ACCUGAAUGUAAGGAUCUUCUGUAUCUUCUGCUCCAGCUGCCUCCGCUCCUCAUGCGGUUUAUAAAUCAAAGGAUUUGUGUGUGAGAGAGAUGAGCUGGAAGCUGGUGGAUAUCAGCUAUCAGGCCGACGCUCGCUGCAGCGUUGGAUCAUUCACACUUUCGACCUGUAACCCUGAGCAACAACAAACAGCCGGCUGCCCGCUCUCCACCGGGCGCUCGGCAGAUUGGACGAUUACCGGUCGUGACACCGACGCUUCGACGCUAACGCUCAUCUCACAUCUCCUACGAGUCAGGGUGCAGAGUGACAGGUGAGAGUGAUGAGGCCGCCUGAAAAAUAACAGCCUGAAGAAUAAAAGUUAAUGCAACUGAAUCAGCAGCGAGGAAGCGUCUGGUGGCGGCUGACGUCCUGGAGGGGGAGACAUGAGAGGCAGGACGGGUGAGGAGAAUGGAGGCGGCUCUGAUG